UCGCCAGCGAUAAUUCGAUGGUUUUGUGAUGUUAUGUUGGUGAACAUGUUAACGUAUCCAACUUCACACUCUAUGAAUGGAUGAAUGAAAGAACGAAUGCCGCUCCUUUCUAACUAUAUAGAAAAGAUAGAGUAGGAAAUAACAAAAAUGUCAAAAAUAACACUGCAAAAUUUAAGUGUCCUAGAACAGUGCUUAAAGCUGAAUUAACAUGAUGAUUUUAAAUUUGUAUUGUUUAUUUCUUGUCAUUGCGACUUUGACGCAGCUGUUGUCAUGACAACAGAUAACAAAACAUGUUUUGUUGAAGGAUUAUUGAUGAAUAAUUUUCCACAAAAAAUUGGAUUUUAACCACGAUAGGAAAAUGAGAACCUGCGACUAUCCGUUUAAACCGAUUGUAGAAUUUAUGGAAAGAUAUGGCGAUCUGAGUAUGCCCACUGAAGGGCCCCAAGAAAGAGCCAACAAUAGUCAACGGUGGGUGGAACUAACGGACACGCGAACGUGAAAUGCUGAUGCCACCGGCGACACGAAAACUACUGAGAAAUUGAGAAAAGUGUGGAGUGACUUUAAACAGCAAGAAGAAGGCAACUCGCAUACACAGAGCUGCCAAGGGAACACUGGACUGGUGGCGGUCCAGGUUCUUCCCUGAAGCCAAAGGAUUUAGAGCAGAGUGCUUGUAAAUAACUACUUGUAAAUUAAAUCCAUAAUAAAGACCUAGGGUAACUGGAUGGAUAUACCUACCUUAUUAUUGUAAAACUUAAGAUAUUAUAAUUAAUUAAAUACA